rnacentral:rRNA from 1 species
CUUGGGUCCGGCAUAACUCCGGGAAACUGGAGAUAAUUCCGGAUAACGCAUAUAUGCUGGAAUGCUUUAUGCGUAAAAUGGAUUCGUCUGCCCAAGGAUGGGUCUGCGGCCUAUCAGGUAGUAGUGGGUGUAAUGUACCUACUAGCCUACGACGGGUACGGGUUGUGAGAGCAAGAGCCCGGAGAUGGAUUCUGAGACAUGAAUCCAGGCCCUACGGGGCGCAGCAGGCGCGAAAACUUUACAAUGCGGGAAACCGUGAUAAGGGGACACCGAGUGCCAGCAUCAUAUGCUGGCUGUCCAGGUGUGUAAAAUACACCUGUUAGCAAGGGCCGGGCAAGACCGGUGCCAGCCGCCGCGGUAACACCGGCGGCCCGAGUGGUGAUCGUGAUUAUUGGGUCUAAAGGGUCCGUAGCCGGUUUGGUCAGUCCUCCGGGAAAUCUGAUAGCUCAACUAUUAGGCUUUCGGAGGAUACUGCCAGACUUGGAACCGGGAGAGGUAAGAGGUACUACAGGGGUAGGAGUGAAAUCUUGUAAUCCCUGUGGGACCACCUGUGGCGAAGGCGUCUUACCAGAACGGGUUCGACGGUGAGGGACGAAAGCUGGGGGCACGAACCGGAUUAGAUACCCGGGUAGUCCCAGCCGUAAACGAUGCUCGCUAGGUGUCAGGCAUGGCGCGACCGUGUCUGGUGCCGCAGGGAAGCCGUGAAGCGAGCCACCUGGGAAGUACGGCCGC